ensembl:lncRNA
AUGGAUACGGCGUAUGGCGGAAAUCGGGCUCUCUACGGUAGCCCCACUAGGAUGUUUAGAUUUCAAUUUCUGGACUGCCUGGGGAAUAUCAGAUGGAGAAGAGUGACGUCUUGGUCUGAUGGGCUGAGCGACAGGAAAUUCAUGAUGACCAGCAAAACAGGUGUGUUCACUCUGCAUCAAUUCCCUCUUUUGAAUUACCACCACAUCAAUGUUCAUAUCUUCAACUGCCCCUGGUAUGUAUGAGAGGGAGCAACAAAAAAAAUGGAAGUGUGUCAUUCACUGAAAAGAUGUUUGCUGUUUUGUACAUUGUGCAGGAACAUGAGGGAGAGUGUUACGGAACAGUUUCACCCCAUUUCUUUUGAUUCCUCGGGCAUCCAGAGACGGCACCGGAUUCAGUAGUCAUUUUCACAAAAACCUUUAUUCAUCUUCAGUUACGCAUGCAUCUUCUAGAAGGGGAGACGUGCCAGGCCGGUGUUCCUUGGCAGAUCUCCACUUUGUUUGUUACAACCAGUUUUAUAGAAGCGAUCCCAUCAUAAAACCCCCAUGGUGUGUUGCAAACUCUGUGUUUGUGCGAGCACGUGAGUGCCUGUGCGCGCGCACCCGUAUGUCUAUGUGAGUGCACAUGAGUGACUGUGUGCGUGUGGGUGUGUCGUAAUAGUUAAAGCACUGUGUGUGAGUGUCUCUGCAUCUGUGACUUCCUGAUGGUCAUAAAAGUCAUCUCCUCACCUGAGCUACACCAAAUUCCUCUACACAAAACAGAGUUAACAUAUUACAGACACUGAGACCCCCACUCUGCAUCCACUGGGCCCUUGGCCUCUUGUUGUUUUACAUUUACAGAUAAGCAUGUGGAGAGUCUCCUGCAAACCUACUUCUAAGUUAUGACAAUUAUGAGCUUUUAUUAAAGGUAGCAUCAGCAUCCCCCAACUCUAGCUUCCUAUCUCCUUUUAUGACAGGCAGACCCCCAGUGUCCAUAAAUUCCUUUCCCUCUAAACAAUUACACACACUCUCAGGCCUACAGCUAAGCCAAACUAAAACACACAGACAAAUCCUUCCCUAUUCCUCUGACCUACUGCUGGACCCUCUCAUCUAAGCAAAUUUAACACAUCAUAUUGUAAUAAUUGUUUUCUUGUACUCACAGAGAGACAGGAGACAUUGCGGUUGGGGAAAACAUAGAAUGGAACACAAAGAGGGAAACAAGACACAAGGACUCAUACAACAUAUACAAACACAGACACACAGAGAGACACAGAGGGCUAACACACAAGGGGAACACCUGAUUUGUUAGCUCCUUAUUUUAGGAUACCUACCUUAAAACAUUGGAAGGUGCUAUAAUUCCUUUGUAAUUUAAAAUAAGAUUCAUAUUAUAUAAUGGUGAGAGUGGAGCAGGUUGUCUGGCCAUUGUAUUGUUGACAUAAAGCUGAUAAGUCAGCCUCUAAAACAUCCUGAACAGCAGGUAAUGUGGUGAGAGACAAGAUCAAGCUACAGGUAAGAGUUUAGAACUGCCUUCUUGCUUUCUUCUCAAAUUACAAGUGUACAUUAUAAGGUUUUCAUUGUUCUAAUCCAGUCAGAGUAGCUCGACUCUAAAAGUCAUUUGUGGAUCCAAGAUAAGAUGGAUCCAAACUAAUAAUAAUCAGAUGAGUUAGAUCAUGCUGUUACUGUUGUUGCCUAUGCUAGAUGUUUUAUAAUGUGAAGACAACAGAAAAAGUCGCUUUGAAAAACUUUGUAGUUUUUUAAUUGUAUUAAAUUGUAAUGAUAGUCAGUGUAAUCAGCACGGAUAAAGACCCCAAAAUUGGUUAAUCUGUAGAAUAUUAUAAAAUGAAGAUCUUUCAAUUUAUCAUUUAGAUCUAUUUAAACCUUUAAAUUUGUUUCCCAUAAUUUUGCUCACACUUCGUGUGUUAUAAUAAUAAUCUGAUCACAUUGUGUGGUGAAUCAACCCUUUUCAUUUGUACUAUUUCACAUGUCUGAGUUCAUUUUGUUACCACAUUAUCUUUUAUAUUUUCCUUAAAUUAAUCUGCUGCCUUUUUCUUUUUAAACUCAACAUUUUAAUAGAAAAUAUUAUGUUUGAGACCCUUGCAACCCUGAACUGGUUAACUGUUUUUUUGUUUCUUUGUUUGUUUAUUUUACAUGGAGAUUCUUGAGCUUUUCAUCCUUUCGUCAGUGUCGGUCACAUUUAUGGAAAAGACCGCAUUAAUAAAGCAUGUGAUAACACCAAAGUGAACAGAAACACAGUCCAAACAACACCAGCUGUUUGCAGACUAAUCUUUUCACACACAUUUCCUUGAAACCUGAGGCUCAGGGAAUGAUACUGUGAGCUUUUUGGCACUAACAAUGAUGACAUGUAUGUGCACAAAGUAUUCCAGCUUUUGUCCUGGAAUACUUUGUCCAAUACUUUGUUGUUUUUUAUGGGGGUUUUUUGCACACAGAGCUGACAACAUGUUAUACAUAUGCACAUGUAAAAUUCAGUCAAUAUUCAAAAUAUUAUUUUAAUAUCAAUUAACAAAGCAAUAUGCUUCUUUCUUUUGUGGAUCAUGAAGCUAAUACAUUUCUACAUGUGCCUAAUUUGUAAAACCUGUUUAGAGAGUUUCCUGUUCUGAUGUUAGGUAUUUGUGAUUUUAUGUACUUUUUUGCCAUGUUGACUGUAAACGUUGAUGUUAUAAUGGUCUACUUCUCAGUUUCCAAACUACUGAACAGUGGAAGUGGAUCACUCAGUUUUACUGUUAGGAGAAGCAAAGAGGAAAAUGAAAAGAAAUUAAAUAUUGUCAUUUUGAUGAGCUCAAAAUCUUAAACUUGCAGGUUAUUGCAACACAUAGAUGCAUUUAAUUUUGAGAGUCUGUUGUGUAGUUGUGAAAAAAGUACUGUGUAGGGAGGAGGGUUUGAGUAAACAGGUGGGAUAACAAUACAACGGAUAAACCCCUGAAUGACCCUGGAGCACUGCAUUAAAAACAGACACAGUUGUGUAGUGAAAAUGUCUGUACAGACUUAGGAACACAGUUCACUGCAAUGUACACAGAGGAUAUAUAUGUAGACAAUGCUGAGGAUUGCAUAAAUGUGUUCCAUCCAAUAUAAAAUAGACCCUCACAUGGGAUGAUUGUGUCGAUCCAGGUAUCCUGGCUAAAAUGUAAAUCUCUAUUGUUCCUUCU